UUGCUUCAAGGGCACAUAUAUUAAAACUGGAACAAUACAGAAGACUAGCAUGAACCCUGUGCAAGAAUGACAGGCACAUUCACGAAGCUUCAUAUUUUUAA
ensembl:snRNA U6 U6 spliceosomal RNA